rnacentral:rRNA from 1 species
CAAGUCGAGCGGUAACAGAUCCAGCUUGCUGGAUGCUGACGAGCGGCGGACGGGUGAGUAAUGCAUAGGAAUCUGCCCGAUAGUGGGGGAUAACCUGGGGAAACCCAGGCUAAUACCGCAUACGUCCUACGGGAGAAAGGGGGCUCCGGCUCCCGCUAUUGGAUGAGCCUAUGUCGGAUUAGCUAGUUGGUGAGGUAAUGGCUCACCAAGGCAACGAUCCGUAGCUGGUCUGAGAGGAUGAUCAGCCACAUCGGGACUGAGACACGGCCCGAACUCCUACGGGAGGCAGCAGUGGGGAAUAUUGGACAAUGGGCGCAAGCCUGAUCCAGCCAUGCCGCGUGUGUGAAGAAGGCCCUCGGGUUGUAAAGCACUUUCAGCGAGGAAGAACGCCUAGCGGUUAAUACCCGCUAGGAAAGACAUCACUCGCAGAAGAAGCACCGGCUAACUCCGUGCCAGCAGCCGCGGUAAUACGGAGGGUGCGAGCGUUAAUCGGAAUUACUGGGCGUAAAGCGCACGCAGGCGGUUUGUUAAGCUAGAUGUGAAAGCCCCGGGCUCAACCUGGGAUGGUCAUUUAGAACUGGCAGACUAGAGUCUUGGAGAGGGGAGUGGAAUUCCAGGUGUAGCGGUGAAAUGCGUAGAUAUCUGGAGGAACAUCAGUGGCGAAGGCGACUCCCUGGCCAAAGACUGACGCUCAUGUGCGAAAGUGUGGGUAGCGAACAGGAUUAGAUACCCUGGUAGUCCACACCGUAAACGCUGUCUACUAGCUGUGUGUGCCUUUAAGGCGUGCGUAGCGAAGCUAACGCGCUAAGUAGACCGCCUGGGGAGUACGGCCGCAAGGUUAAAACUCAAAUGAAUUGACGGGGGCCCGCACAAGCGGUGGAGCAUGUGGUUUAAUUCGAUGCAACGCGAAGAACCUUACCUACACUUGACAUGCUGAGAAGUUACUAGAGAUAGUUUCGUGCCUUCAGGAAUUCAGACACAGGUGCUGCAUGGCUGUCGUCAGCUCGUGUCGUGAGAUGUGGAUAAGUCCCGCAACGAGCGCACCCUUGUCUUAGCUGCAGCUUAGUGGGCACUCUAGAGACUGCCGAUGACAAACCGGAGAAGGUGGGACGACGUCAGGUCACUCAUGCCCUUACCU